rnacentral:rRNA from 1 species
AAUAGAUACCCAGGUAGUCCACGCCGUAAACGAUGAGUGCUAAGUGUUAGGGGGUUUCCGCCCCUUAGUGCUGCAGCUAACGCAUUAAGCACUCCGCCUGGGGAGUACGGCCGCAAGGCUGAAACUCAAGGGAAUUGACGGGGGCCCGCACAAGCGGUGGAGCAUGUGGUUUAAUUCGAAGCAACGCGAAGAACCUUACCAGGUCUUGACAUCCUCUUGACCGCUCUAGAGAUAGAGUUUUCCCUUCGGGGACAGGAGUGACAGGUGGUGCAUGGUUGUCGUCAGCUCGUGUCGUGAGAUGUUGGGUUAAGUCCCGCAACAAGCGCAACCCUUGAUCUUAGUUGCCAUCAUUAAGUUGGGCACUCUAAGGUGACUGCCGGUGACAAACCGGAGGAAGGUGGGGAUGACGUCAAAUCAUCAUGCCCCUUAUGACCUGGGCUACACACGUGCUACAAUGGACGGUACAAAGAGCUGCAAGACCGCGAGGUGGAGCUAAUCUCAUAAAACCGUUCUCAGUUCGGA